AAUGAACGCUGGCGGCGCGCCUAACACAUGCAAGUCGAACGGGACCGGGGGCAACUUCGGUUCAGUGGCGGACGGGUGCGUAACACGUGAGGAACAUGACCUUCGGCGGGGGAGUAGCCGGCCCAACGGCCGGGUAAUACCGCGUACGACCAUUUGGGGUACGAUCCCUGAAUGGUGAAAGCAGCAAUGCGCCGAUAGAGUGCCUCGCGGCCUAUCAGCUAGUUGGUGGGGUAACGGCUCACCAAGGCAACGACGGGUAGCUGGUCUGAGAGGAUGGCCAGCCAC
rnacentral:rRNA from 1 species